CAUCGUUACGCAUAUUAUUUCCCUAUAUAUCAAGAGCCACAUCAAAUCAUCUGCCUGUCUUUUUCACUAGCUGGCCCAAUAUUAUUUGCCAUAUAAAUACCGGAGAACAACUGCAUUUACGUCACACAAAGCCAAGGCAACUUUCUGCCAUUUUGUCCGUCCUUGAGUCUCUACCAAACCAAAACAUCGCCGUCGCCUCGAAAAUAAACAGUGGAGGGAGAAGCAUCAAGCACACACUGCACACAUCAACAGUGACACAAAGGCCCCACACGAUUGAACAGAACUUGAUGCCUGCCCGCCUCCUUUCUUCCUGGC
rnacentral:misc_RNA from 1 species